AAUGCACCAAUUUGUAAGUCGCUCUGGAUAAGAGCGUCUGCUAAAUGACGUACA
rfam:Salmo salar isolate Sally breed double haploid chromosome ssa06, whole genome shotgun sequence.